UACGAAGGGGGCUAGCGUUGCUCGGAAUUACUGGGCGUAAAGGGCGCGUAGGCGGCUAGCCAAGUCAGACGUGAAAUUCCUGGGCUCAACCUGGGGACUGCGUUUGAGACUGGUGGGCUAGAGGACGGAAGAGGGUCGUGGAAUUCCCAGUGUAGAGGUGAAAUUCGUAGAUAUUGGGAAGAACACCGGUGGCGAAGGCGGCGACCUGGUCCGUUACUGACGCUGAGGCGCGACAGCGUGGGGAGCAAACAGG
rnacentral:rRNA from 1 species